GUCCAUUGACUUGGACAAUUUCUUGACAUUUUGACCUCAAAUCAGGUAGGACUACCCGCUGAACUUAA
rnacentral:rRNA from 1 species